rnacentral:rRNA from 1 species
GAUGAACGCUGGCGGCGUGCCUAAUACAUGCAAGUCGAGCGAACGGACGAGAAGCUUGCUUCUCUGAUGUUAGCGGCGGACGGGUGAGUAACACGUGGAUAACCUACCUAUAAGACUGGGAUAACUUCGGGAAACCGUAGCUAAUACCGGAUAAUAUUUUGAACCUCAGGGUUCAAAAGUGAAAGACCGUCUUGCUGUCACUUAUAGAUGGAUCCGCGCUGCAUUAGCUAGUUGGUAAGGUAACGGCUUACCAAGGCAACGAUGCAUAGCCGACCUGAGAGGGUGAUCGGCCACACUGGAACUGAGACACGGUCCAGACUCCUACGGGAGGCAGCAGUAGGGAAUCUUCCGCAAUGGGCGAAAGCCUGACGGAGCCACGCCGCGUGAGUGAUGAAGGUCUUCGGAUCGUAAAACUCUGUUAGUAGGGAAGAACAUAUGUGUAAGUAACUGUGCACAUCUUGACGGUACCUAAUCAGAAAGCCACGGCUAACUACGUG